UUGCCCAGGCUGGAGUACAGUUUCAGGAUCUCUGGUCACUGCAACCUCUGCCUCCUGGGUUCAAGUGAUUCUCCCGUCUCAGCUUCCCAAGUAGCUGAGACUACAGGUGUGUACCACCACACCUGGCUAAUUUUUGUAUUUUUUGAGUAGAAACAAGGUUUUACCAUAUUGGCUGGUCUCAAACUCUGACCUCAAGUCAUCUCCCUACCUUGGCCUCCCAAAAUGCUGGGAUUACAGAUGUGAGCCACCACACCUGGCUCAAUUCAUUUAAAGCUAAAUGUGUAAACUUACACAUGUAGAUACCAUGUAAAGCCUCUAAUGAUCAUAAUCUGCAAGAUAGUUUGUUGUCAGAUGGGAGGAGAUAGUUGUUCUGUUAUUCAGCACUCAUUAUCUCUCCCAUGCAGAACAUUGGGCUCAGCCCAUUCAGUCCUGCCCUGUCCCAGAUAUGUAGCAUUUUAAAUGAAGAGUUAGCUAAGUUUUGGUUGUGCUGAAUGUUGAUCUUUCCUGAGGAGCUGAUUGCAGAUUUUUGCUGCAUCAUUGGGCACUGGCAUUUACCCAACUCCAGGCAUUUCAGGCAAUACCUUUGAUGGAUCCAGAGCUUUCUUUCUCAUUCAGUGACUCGCUCCUUCACUUUUCCACCCCUUGCACAUUUCUUGUUAAGGGAUGCUCAUGUUCACUGCAGUUGGCAGGUUGAAAGCAGGGCUUCAGACUCCUCUUUUAACAGAAAGCUUUGUCUCUGUCCUGUGUUUUAUCAAACAGCUUCACGGGCAUUUUAAUGAGUUUGCCAAGCUCAUCUUUUGUCUCUAUUGAUGAGUGUUGGACUGCAUUUUUUAUUUUAUUUUUUUCUGGGAGGGAGUCUUUCUCUGUCUACAGAUCAAUUUGGACUUGAUGUUUAAAGCUAAGACUUCCUUCCAUUUCGGAGUAGUUUUGUUGGUAUCAGUUUCUGUACCAUGUCAGUUCCAAUGCUAUUUAUUACCUUUUCUAAUUUAGCCUUAGAGGCAUUGCAGAAAAUAUAAACAACCUGGCCCUGCUGGGACUUCUGACACCCCAGUGCUAGUCAGUUGCAAUUUAUCUGUUCUGUUGAUAACCAAGAAGCCAGACGGGUUUUAUCUUUUCAACAUCCUACAUCAUGACAAAUUGAAUGCCAUGAGUUUUCCCUUCCAGGUGGACUAGGUCAAUCUUUGGUGUGGGGAGACACAAAUGUCUCUUGAUUGUUUUCUCCCCAAAAAGAUCUGAGAGUGGCAGGUUUGAUCUGAUAGGGAAGCAAGUGCUCAGUGUCUGAGAGUUGCUCUGGAUAACUCUUCACUGCUUCCCAAAAGAUGAGGUACAGAUAUUAGAAUAUCAUCUUAACAUAGGCAGCCAAAUUCUCAUAGAUUAUGUCACUGGAUAAAAAACCUGUUCAACUCUGAAAAGUGUACUUCCUCCUUUGACCAUACCAUCCUAGAAAAAAUAGUUACUUAGGAAAGCAAAGGCUUCACAAAAAGCCAUUCAUUAUUUAUCAAAUCACUUUUGUGAGGCAAAAAAAAAAAAAAAAAAAAA
rnacentral:lncRNA from 1 species